rnacentral:RNase_P_RNA from 1 species
CAACCGGGUGGCGCAAUCGCGCGAUAUCAUGCCGAAAGGUCGUAUCGUGAGGAAAGUCCGGGCUUCGUAGGGCGGGAUAACGGAUAACAUCCGCCGGGGGUGACCCCAGGGAAAGUGCAACAGAAAUAAACCGCCGUGGUUUCACGGCAAGGAUGGAAAGGCGAGGUAAGAGCUCACCGGCAUAGCAGGUAACUGCGUGCAAAUGUAAACCCUAUCCGAAGCAACACCGUUUGUGGGAGCUGCCGCAAGGCAGACGGCGGCCCGCCGGCAUCCCAUGGGUGGCAGGAGAAUUUAUUUCUCUGAACUGGGCGGAGACGCGCAGUGAAGAUAGAUGAUUGCGGCUCGCGCGCAAGCGCGUUCACAGAACCCGGCUUACAGGCCCGGUUGCAGG